UACAGAGGGCCCAAGCGUUGUUCGGAUUCACUGGGCGUAAAGGGUGCGUAGGCGGUCGGGCAAGUCUGUUGUGAAAUCUCACAGCUUAACUGUGAAACUGCAUUGGAUACUAUCCGGCUAGAGGAAUGGAGGGGAGACUGGAAUACUUGGUGUAGCAGUGAAAUGCGUAGAUAUCAAGUGGAACACCAGUGGCGAAGGCGAGUCUCUGGACAUUUCCUGACGCUGAGGCACGAAAGCCAGGGGAGCAAACGGG
rnacentral:rRNA from 1 species